AAAAUCCAAUUUAAAUCCUCUCGGAGAGGGUUUUAGACAGCUGGUGAUAUGAGAGAAUUGCAAAGAAAUUGGGCUUUUCCAUUCAUGUGUUUAGGGGGGGACUGGCACUUGACUGGCAUUUUUAAAGUCUGUUCUGGGCAAAACAAUAUGCUUGGAAAUACCCCCAUGGGAAGAACACAAGAUUUACCAGGAACAGCUAAUUCACGUAACAGUUAUCACAUCUUGUUUUCUGUAAGAUUGUAAGAUAAAUUAGUGUGUGUUAAGAAACUUAUGGUAAAAUAUGCCUCGGUCUUUCAUCCUAAAGAAAACAUUAAAGAUUUCAUUACUCAUGACUGUAUCCUAGGAUAUGGCCAAUGAAAGGUGCCUGUGUCCCUCUUAGCUGUACACUGCUACAGAUUCACAGAAGAAUCACACUUUCUUUUUAUUGUCCAUCGCAUACCCUCCACUCUGCAUGCGUAUCCCCCAUAGAUCAUGGAGGGGGUGCCAUGCAGAUGCAUGGCAACAAACCACAAGACACCAUAACUCUGCCUGCCUAUCACAAGACAUGGUACCAGAGUGUCCUGGCUUUGUCCCCUACCUUCCAUCUGUUUUUCCCUGGAGCCUUUCUUUAAGAUGCCCUUCCUUAGACCUCCAGUCCAGAUCCCCUGGUCUAACUGGGAGGGAGGCUUAUGGAACCCAAAAGUGGCUUUAAGCUACUUGAACACUUCAGUGUAUCUGGAGUUAGUGGAGAUCAGUUUAGCUCCUGGGCAUUGUGCCAGUGGUGUCACUCACCCGGGACAAGGGAGAGCCUGGAGAUGGGACCUACAGAUCUGAGCCUGCAUGGGCCAGAGGAAGAGAAAUCAUCCACCAAGCUAAGACUGAGAAGCACAGUUGUGGGAUGAAAGAGCGGCAGUUGUAAGAACUGAAGAUUUCUGGAGGCAGUUUUUAACUGCUGGAUUGAGAAUCAGCUGUGAUUUCCACAGCCACAUCUACCAAACUGGACUGAAGAACCUCCAGCACAGAAAAAGCCUCAGGGAGGAGAUGAGAAGUUUAAUUAAUUAAUGCUUGUAAAAUGCUUUGAGACCCUCAGAUGGAAGACACUAGAGAAGUAGAAAGACUUAAUUAUUUUUACUGAUAUUGGUGGGGAGGGGAUGUAACUGCUUUGUAUUGUGAUAUUGUAUUGUGAUACUAUAGUCCUUUUGUUCUUUUUGAGUUCAAUCUACUCUGUAUAUGGUAUCUGAGACUGAAGAACAGCCAGAAAGAAAUAGUGCAAUUAUAAUCUCAGCAAUUUGGUUUGUAAAAACAUAUUUUCAGGGAUAUUUGCUCAAUGCAGUUGAACAAGAUUAUGUCAGACCUGCCAUUAUAUAGAAAUCAGGCUAUGGCACGAGCACACCUUAAACCAGCCACUGAAUUGUGACUUUGUCUCCUGCCUCAGCAGUUCUUUUUUCCUUAUUUACAUGUUUUUGCAAAGAAAAAUGUAGCUAUUAGCUAAAUGACAGCAAAAUAUUCAUACUGACAUUAUCAGAGGUAACCCUCUGAAUAAGCACAAGGAGAUAUUGGCUAGCUUAGCAGCACAGGAAAACAGAGUCCAAAUCCUUUCACCUCCAUGUCACCAGGUCCAGCCCAGUCUAGAUUGAUAGUUGCAAAAAUGCCAUUUGACAGGUUUUUGGCACUCUGAACAAAAUGAACUGGGCAAGGGAAGGAUGGAAAAAUCUCAGCCUGAGUCCCACUGGGACAAGUAUCAACACUACAAAUGGCACUGCUUGCCAGGUCAGAAAAGAGGCCAUUGCAUUUCUUGGACACAUUACUUCCAGGCGGGCAGGAGGAAUAAUGUCAGGGCCAUGUAAAAGAAACUUGCCCAGUCCUGCAUGUAACUCUUAGACUCCAAAAUCAACUGACUGUUUUCCAUCAGAAAAAUACCCACUUUAAAGAGCAGAGGAGAGACAGUGGGUAUCAGCCAGGCAGGGAGAGUUAUUUGCGGGCAGUUUCCUGAAAGGCGCUGCUUUUAGGACUAUGCCUCAGUGUUACCUCCAGUAACAAUCUGUCAUAACUCAGUGUUACUUAAAUACUUCUGCACCCCAGCACUGUGUCCAUCCCUAGUUUGUUUGCUGCAUGAAGGAUAGCUCAUUUGGAAUAAAACAUGGCUAGACAGAGGAAGCUGAUUCUCAAAUAUACAGUAUCUUAGACACCCUUGUGUCCUCCCCAUGACACCUGGGCAACUACCUUGUCAUUGGCAUAUUUUUCCUCAUGACACUCUGAUGAGGUAUUUCUUGGGAUGUCCUUUCAAAUGCUGCAGUCAGCGUGGGUCUUGCUGCAGUUGCACAUGUACCACUGUGUUAACAAGCCUGGAUUUUUUAAGCAUGUUUGGCAGGGCUGUGCAUGAACCAUGUGGUUCUGGUACUCUGAAACUGGGGAGAAAAGACAGAGCAGCUGAAACUUUCUGUUCCCUCAUAGUUCGGUGGCUGUGUUAGCUUGCAGUUGUGCCAAUACAGUCACAAGGCCCAUGUGAAGUAUAAUAUAUCAAAUAACAACAGUUACCAUAGGGUAUGUCACCACGUCUUCUGUUUCUGAUGGGAAUGCAGGACUGGCUCAGAACAAUGCAAAAAAGCACUACUGCUGGUAUCACUCAGAGAUUGGGAUACUUCUCUUCCAAAGGUGGAAUUGGCCCCGGCAGCUACAUCAAAGCAUAAUGCUGAGAGAAGGGUCCUCUGAGUACAUUCAGCUCACACCCCGUCUGAGAGCACUGGUGACCUGGCCUCAAAGAUCGGAAGGCAAGAGGAGAUGCACAGGAUUUUAACAACAAAGUGUGUUUGCAGUUCCACUAGAGCUGAAUCCGGGAAAUGUCAUUGUUCACAGUAUGGGCCAUGACCCCUGCAGCCUGCUUUGGAGGCAGUGACCUCUGCCAAACGGUGACAGAACUCAGCUCUUAGGUUCAGCUUAAUCCUGACCUGCAGCUUCACCUUUUAGCCCCCGGCUUCCCAAAUCGCUUUGACAAGACACUGAACUCCUGACCCACAGAAUCCCCUUUUAUUCCAGUCCUUAUCCCCUUCUGUCUCUAUCUAUCAUUUCAUCACUCUGAUCUCUACCAAAGCUGCUCACUCUGGAUCUGUGACACCCUUCUUAUUCCAAUACUAAGUAUUAGCAAUACCGUUCUCACUAGUAAACUCCUCUGUCUGACCAUUUCAACACUCCUCAAGCCUGACAAUGCCUGGUUUUGUUAGCCACACUGAUCAGUCAGACUAGACCCCUCCCAUCUAAAGUGCCUCUGCUACUGCAAUUCAGGGCUCGUCCUUCCUCCAGCUGUGUUGAUGCACCUCCCUCCUAAGAGGCCCUCAACAUACUUUAUUCAUAACGGUUACAGCCUGCAAAGAUGCUGAAACAGGAAGCCAAAUGACUGCUGUGCGACCUUGGGAAUGCAAAUUCCAUGUGUUUGCGAAGUCAAAGCAAGCCAUUUCCUUCCCCAGUCCCUCCUCCCUCUGCAGGCGUGCAAGCCACAGCUAAUGGGAAAACACACAGGCACACACAAAGCUUUGUCGAUGCUAAUUGCCAGGAGCUGAGGCCCAACCAUCCUGUUGACUAAUUUGUCAGCCGCUGCUGACUCAGCAAUCUGGAGGGACCUCAAGUGCAUUGGGAAGUAAAUGGCUCUUAUUGUUCUUUCCUUCCCUUCACUCCGGUGUCUGUAUUUGUGGACAAUUCCUGCCCUGGGCUUGACCUUGGCUGCAGCAGUGACUGGAGGGCUGGGAUUGCCAUGGCUGGUGGGCCUCUCAUUAAACCCUAAUGGAAAGAACAGGCUCAGUUGUGGCAGGAGAGAGACGGGGGAACGUGUGACCUGAUCUGGAAAUAGCAUGUGCACGAGCAGGCUAGGGCAGAGAGGAGAAGGCUGACCCGAAUUAUGUGUCUUGUGUGGGAUAAAGACAAGUGAGAUCAACAAGCUAGGUGCUGUCUGGAACAAACAUCCCUAAACCUGCCUGAAAUGUGCAGGACUUCCUCACCCAGUCGUGACUCUGCCCUUUGCUUAAACAGCAGAUCUGGGCAUGAGCCCAGGCAAAUGUCCUCUGGCCAAAGGACAAAGCUGCUUUUGGUGAACUGCAGAUGACAGGGGAAGAGGUGCAGGCAUUCCCUGGCCAAUGCCGCAGGCAGGAGGACAGAGACCUGGAGCUGCUCCACACAGCAAGGUGCAGUUUUGUACAGUGGUGUAACAGACAUCCCACACCUGGGCAGUGUAAGGAAACGUUUGUGGAAAGGGUUACCUGAAAAUUAGAGAAAGCAGAGGAAGAGACGAAAGACAGGCCCCUGUGGAAUUCCCUUUUCCCCAGACGGUUCAUGGAAAACCAUGCCCCAAAGGACACAGGUGGGACAGCCCAUAUAGCAUACACAUGUCUAUCCCAACACAGACCUGCCAAAAACAUGUAUGUCCCCUCACUGCACCACAGCUGCAUGAGUGCAUGCACAGUUCUACAGAGCACACAUAUGCAUAGAGGGAGAAAUGCUGCCACACACUAACAGAUAUCCCAUAUACACCCAUUUAUUUGUACAUGGCGCUUCUGUAUGGGCAUACUGGUGUGGUGUAACUCUGUCAUGAGCACACCUAUUAGUGUGGCCAGCUCUGCCCCCGGGCCUGACUCAGUCCAGCCCUGACUGAGUAGUUCUAUCAGUACUGUGAAACUUUGAGUCAGCUGAUAGCAGCAGAUCCAAAUCCCUUCUCAGAGACUGGCAAGCAGAGUACGUUUCUGCAGUCACUGCGGAGGGAGUGCUGUGUGUGCAUAAUACUUGUUGGAAGAAUGGUACAGCCAGGGAUACUGUUGGAGUUGCGUCUAGAGGCAACUGAAUAAUUAAUUAUCAAUAAUAUUGUGAAUUCUGGCAAUAUUUUAACUGAAUAAAUAUUCACAAAUAUGUUUCCAUUAUUUAGCCAGCUUUGGCUCUGUCCCAUUCCAUUUAAUAUGCAACUCUAUCCAACUUUGCUCCCAGGUAGGAAAAUGAGCUGAAUCCUGUAAGACAUGUGGAUUCCAGUUUCGCAAUCAGCAGGUGGCAUUUAUCUAAUAACCUCUUUGUAAGAAAGAGCUUUGCUAUGCAAUGCUUUUCUAACCAGUCUGGGCAUUAUAAAGGUGUUUAUUAAGAGAGCUAGGCAUUUGCAGUAUGUACAACUUCCAUCUGUGCAUUUUCUUUAAAUUCUUUGGUUUGUAGCUUCUCAGAAAUAGCUAUCUUGGUCUUUUUCACUUAGACCUGCAUGUCGUGUGCUGGUUGUAAACAGGCUAUUUUGGACAAAUUACUCUUCUUUUGGAGAGUAUUCUGCAUGUCAGUAACAUGAGUGGUUCCUUUGAAGACAGCAGGCAUGUUUCUUUCAGGGUUAUUGUUUUGAGAAAGCCCUAGAAAACAAACUGUCUUCUUCCACCUGUUGCCAAACCAGCUCUGAAACAAAACUUUGCAGGACAGUCCUGUGCUUUCUUCUAAACAUCCUCAGUACAGCCUGCUCUGUUCCUGACUUGCAGGAGCCUAGAUCAUUGUUAGGCUGUUAAAGAAUUUGCUAUUAUUCCAGGCUUUCUGAAGCUUACCUUCUCCACCUCUUUCUGUCCAUCUCAGUUUAGUUACAAAUCUCUUUUGACCUGGGAAUUUCUGUUCUGGUAGUGAGUCUGCAUUCUUUUAUAUGGCUCACGAAGAGCUCAUGGGCUCCUGCGAGGUUCAGAAAUCUAUAAUGAAUAACGCGAAAAAAUAAUAAUUCCACUGCAUAAAAAUACUGAGCGGCUCUAAUUUCUAUUGAGGACAAAUCACACAAGUAUGGCCCUUCUGAGCCAAACUCAUUUUGAAAUAAGAUGUUCCAACAAAUCACUGGAAGACUUUUUCAGAGAUAAAAACCUUCUCACCUUCCAGACAUCUCCUUUAUUAAAUGUCUCAUCCAGUUCAUUGCAAUCUCUCCAUAUUAGGCAUAAUACCAAACACUAAAAUAUAUCGGAUAGAAAGAUGAGAGUGAUGAAGUUUGGAUCUGGAUUGUCAUUUAUAAUGUUAAAUUAGACUCAUAGCCACAGUCCCAUAAAAGUAAGUAUUUAUCACAGAGAGAGACAGGCUCUUAGUCUUGGCUAUACUCUACGUAUGGAUUAAGCCCAAGGACAGAGGUGGUCUUAAACCACCUCUGGUCACCAUUCGUGGGGUGCUGGGUUCUCUGAUGUAAAUUAGAGCAUGCCAAUGAAUCUCACUAAAGGAGCUUGACUUUUUCCAGAGAUAUCGUGCAUCAUACACACACAGGCAUAGAGUCAAAUCCCUUCUCAUUGGAUGGUUCGCAUAGCCUGGCAGUAAGUUGGUCUAGGCUAGGGACUCGUGUUCAUCACCACAGCAUUGCAACCUGCACCUGCUUGAGCAGCUUCAGAAGGUGACAGCAAUAACUUCCUUGGCCUCCUCUGUAAAUCAAGGGUUACAGCAGACCAGACCUGGACUAUCUUUUCUUCCUACUGCAACACAUGUUCCAGUUUUCCAGAUAAAUGUUAGCUUUAGUUUCCUUUCCUGAAAACAGAAGAUGUUUCUUUAAUGCAUGAAGAACUCAUGGAAAAGAAAA